rnacentral:misc_RNA from 1 species
GAGACACCAUUGAUCAUUGUGUAAGUCUUUGCAUCUCAGUUUGUUCAUUCAAUGUCUCAAGAAGAAGCGGAGGGGCGUAUUGAGCAGUUCCUUGAUGCUCCUCUGAAUCUUGACAAAAUGAAAGUAUUAUGGUAUCAAUUGACAUCUCCACAACUGCAAAGAAGAGAGUUGCCACGACGUAUCCAAGAAACCAGCACACCAGAACCGGGAAAAUUGGUGACGAGAUCUUG